GUGCAGUACGAAAUUCGGCCAACAGAUGGCUCACGGCGUCGAAUAUGAAAUCAAUGUGGAACAUUGAUUAUUGAUUUUGUGCUGCGGACAUUGGUAGUGCACGAACGAUGUUGCGAACGCAGUAUAAACGCGCCUUAUGUCAAAACGAAAAGCACAUUUUCGAGAGAAAUAUAUUGAUGCGUUUCCAAGUAUUAAACGUGGAAGAAACGAACAUGAGGCUAUUUGCAAAGUGUGUGGAUUCACGGCUUAAUGGGACUGCGCAGCCUUUGCAGCUGGCCUCUGGUGCCACCAGGGCACCCCAGGAGGACGACGCAUCCUUGCCCCCGCCAUCCCCACUUGCCGACCCCAUGGACCAGGACCCACCAUUGCCAUCGCCGUCAGUGCACCAGCACAUGCCCUCGGGUCUGGACGUGUGUCCUGGCAGCAGUUUUCCAGAUGGCGGGGUAUGCUCGGGAUUCCACUGUCCUUACCGUCAUGGUGAACAUAGCGGACUUAUACUUCCACAGCAUUGAGGCUAUGAGGACCAUACAGAAAAGAGCCUUGUAUCACAGCAAUUGGAAACUUAUUUAAAUAGCUUAUUAAUUGUGUUUCAUUGUGAAACAACCAACGUUUGUAGAAGUAUUUUCUGGACUUCACGCAUUGCAAGAUUUCCUUCAUUGAAUGUUACAACUAAGUCAAGGACAUAAAAAUGCAGUGUAUUAAUUGACACUGCUGGCAUACACUAGUGCCAGCACACCACAUGGCUUAGAGAUUAUGAGAGAAUCAAUAGAGACCAAUGACACGACUCACUGGAAACAUGCCGCCAACGCCCUCUCAACCACCAGUAUGUAGGAUCACCGCUGCAGACCAGAGGGCCAGUUAGUUCGAAUCUGUUACGCUCCUUAGUUCGAGUCUGUACGCUGCGGAGUUCCAGCAUGUAAAAAUACCGAGAACCUUCUUUAAAAGAAUAAUAUACAAAAGACCAGUAGUAAUAACAAUAGAUCCCAAUGUAAAGACACCAAAAUCCUGUUAACAUCAAACAUAAUGGUGUAAUUAUGAAGUAAUUAAUGAAAAUGGUCACUGUAUUGUUAUCAUUGUAUGUUUCAUGAAAUUUAAAUGCAAGGACUGAAUUAUUUCAACAUAGUAAUUACAUCAAGGAUGUUACAAUUUCUCAAGCUAAAAGCUGUAACCAGUUUUAUGACAACACAUAAAUUUCAUUUGUAAGUUUAAUUAUGUUCAGUUUGAACAAUAUGUAGAACAUUCUGUGAUUGUUGGAUGUUAUAUAAGGAGCAGCAGCAGUAGCCAUGGUAAGUUAGUUAUGUGUUAGUUUUUUGUCAGUAUUUUGUCAGUCUUAGUGCAGUAUUAGACCAGUAUUGUGUUAGUCAUGUAUAAUAUUUGAUGUAUGUCUUUGUAGAAAUAAAUUGGUGAAGGACUAACUCCA